rnacentral:rRNA from 1 species
CACGUAGGGCGCGAGCGUUGUCCGGAAUUAUUGGGCGUAAAGAGCUCGUAGGCGGCCUGUUGCGUCCGCUGUGAAAGCCCGGGGCUUAACCCCGGGUCGGCAGUGGAUACGGGCAGGCUAGAGGUAGGUAGGGGAGAGUGGAAUUCCGUGGUGAGCGGUGAAAUGCGCAGAUAUCAGGAGAACACCGUGGCGAAGGCGGACUCUGGC